CACUGGGGAAUAGCCUGAUAAAUUGCAGUCAUCUCCGCACCGCAGUGCAGAAGUGCAAGUUAUUCCUGGCAGAAAAGGGGAAAAGAUGCAAGCUGUGGAGUCUGUGACUGCAGAAGGGAAGAAGCUGUCGGAUCCCAUCUGUCGACCGGGAGGAUGAACGACCGCACGCAUCUCUGCUCUGCGCCAGCUCCCAGCCCGACUUCCAGGGGCUCAGCAUCUUCUUGGGCAACCCCAAUGGGCUGCAGUGGGGCCAGAGCCUCCCUGCAAGGUCCUUCCCAUGCCAGCCCCAGAGCGGUGGGAGUUGCUGGGUGUUGGGCCCAAAGGAGAGGGUCACACACCAUACCUCCCAGAUACAGGGCAGCUCCUGGGGUCCCGCAGUGCUAUUGGAGACAAAGGGAAGUGAAGCUAAAGAGCAGCACAGAGCAACAGCGGCUUGGAUGACACGGGUCAGUACUUCAGCACACGCAAGGCUGGUUUUUGAUGGUUUGGGAUUAAGAGCCUGCAAAUCGCAGCAUUCCACCAAGGCUGUCUCACUGGAAAAGAGCUGAGGUCAAGACCAGGAGGGACCCAGAGGUCAAAGUGCUGCCAAGAAAAAGGGCUAAACAAAGCCCAGGAUUUCUGCAGUCAAAAGCCCAGGCAUCUAAAGGCAGCAUUAAACUUGAAAUGAGAAACUGGAAAUCCUCUUUUGAUAUAUUCCUUCCCUUACUUUAAACAAGCUUUUCUUACUCACUGCACAGAUAAUGUGUGGACUUUGGACUUUCUUUUUGUAAUGUAUAAUGGAAAUUUAACGCAUCUGUGAGGAACCUGGGACUGUUUUAUAUCGCAUCCAUGGUGUUUUGGGGCCCUCCUGCAACUCAGAAUACAACAUCAAUGGCAAAGUGGGACUUUGUGUUCAAGAGAGGUGGACAUAACCUUCCCCAUCCCCAUGUCUACGUACUUGUAGGCAGCUAGAGGUGAAUACCCUGAAAUAAGAGGAGCCACAGCUCGCUUCCCCUUGUGCUAACACUAUCUCAGUCUGGUCUGCAGUGCUUUCCCACUGAUACAAGGACAACUUUAGUGCUGCUGGUGUCUCCAGGACAUCCCAAGAACCAGGAGGUGUUUUUUAAUGGGGAUUUGCCCUGAAGUACAGCCAAAAUCCUUUUUCUCACGGAUCAAACAGAUUCACGCAAUAGCUGCAGAAGGAGUUUGGACUCCAGGAGAUGACAAUACAGCACCCUGCGUGCAUUGCCAUGGAGUCCCACUCCUGGUUUCUGGAUGGCCGGACUACAACUGGCUCAGCCCAGUGCCAACUUAGAUGACAGUGAGGCAGAUCUGCAACUUUGUGAACGCAGCAAUUAGCCCCUGAGCCCGGGGAGAGUUUGUCAAGAUCCCAUCACAGGCAAACAAUAACACAGAAAUACAGCUUUGAGGGGGAGACAAUUUAUCAAGCUGACCACAGCUAUCUCCCUCAUUUUUUCUUCAAUAAAUCCAGCCUCGCUCUUGGCAGUGUACAGUAUCUUGUCAUUGCUUUCG
ensembl:lncRNA